ensembl:lncRNA
AUGGGUCGUCAUUUGCCCCAGGGCCUUGUGAAGCUCUGGAGUCGCUUCAAGCGUUGGAGAAACCGGAGGAUCCAGCCGGAGCAGCCGGUGGGCGAAGGUGGUCCAGAUGGGCCUAACGGCGUCCACGUCCAUCCUUCACCCACUCCUCAGGUGGGUGACUCAUACACACCCCAUCCACCUUCUCCUCCACGCUCUCUUGUUUUUUGGUCUGCUGGUCCUUCUGUUUCCCCUUCACCCCCUCCUGUUCCUUGUUGCUUUGAUGUUCUUGCUUUUUCUCCUUCACCCUGUCCUACUCCUUCUUUUUCUUCUUCUUCUUUCUCACUCUCUUCUGCUUCCUCUGGUACUUGGUGCUCUGACAUCUUUCCCUUUUCUCCUUACCCUUCUCCUACUCCUUCUUCUUCUUCUUCCUCACUCUCUUCUGCUCACUCUGCUUCUCUGUGCUCUCCUCCUCACUCUCUCAUCUCUCCUUUUUCUUCUCCCUCGCCCUCCUCUGCUUACUCUGGUACUUGUUGCUCUGCUGUCCUUCCCUUUUCUCCUUCACCCUCUGCUGUUCCUAGUUGUUCUGCUGUCUUUCCUUUUUGUCCUUCACCCUCUCCUACUCCUUCUUCUUCUUCCUCACCCUCUUCUGCUUACUCUUGUCUUUGUUGCUCUGAUGCCCUUCCUUUGUCCCCUUUACCCUCUCCUGUGACGGAGAGAGUGAAGGAGCUCAUCCAGCAGCUCAUCUUCCAGGAGAGGUAAGGAAGACAGUGAUGAGGAGGGGGCUGCUCUUGGAAGACUCAACUGUGGGACACUGUUUCCUACAGUGAAACCAGUCUUGGAUUUGACCCCAGGGCACCUUUUUUGUAGUUUUAUCUCUAUACCAUAAGUUUAAAUGUUCAUUCCAACUUUGAGAACUAGCCUUUGCGUCUGGCUGGGCAGUUUUCAGGUCCCCGGCAGCGUCUGGCGCUGGGACCUUUCUUUCUUUCCUGGAUGAACACAAGUUUAAAUGUUAAUUUUUACCCUGAGAACUAGCCUUUGCGUCUGGCUGGGCGGUUCUCAGGUCCCAGGUAGCGUCUGGCACCUGGGCCAGUUUUUGCUGUUUUUUAUAUUUUAGCAUGGCGGUUGGAUGGACUUUUCUUUCACCCUGAAGGCUGAGUUCAGCGCCUGGCAGGGCCGUCGAUCCCCCCAUGCAAGUUGCCCUAGCGUCUGGCGGGGUAGCUAUUAUGUUUCCUCCACAGCGAUAGAAGGUCAGCUCAGUCACAGUGGCACUGGGGACACAUGUCGUCUCCCACUGAAGCUCCUCGGUGGCAGAUGACUGCAGUGUCAGGUGUUAUGGAGGAGACACAUGGCGAGACGAGGGAACCAGGAGAUGAGCAACGGUGAAUUCAACUACAAUGUUCUUCAAGUAUUUCUCUGAUCUAUUUACUCACUCUGUGUUCUAAUGCUUUCACUUUACCAGAGACAACCAAUCUGGACCAAGAGCCGGCAUUCCAAGCAGCCCGGACCUAAGCUGUCAAACCGAUCGCAGGAACCACAGCUGCACAAUUACGUUCAGUAAGAAUGACACGUCCUAGCUUAUUCGUAGUCUGUACUUUACUUCAUGUGCUCCUGAAGCCAAUGUUUUCAUUUUGGUUGCGACAGGUGCAGCUGUGGAGGCUGGAGAACUGUGACAACAGAGACCAUAGGACCACCUGGAGAGAAGUUGUCACCUGUGUCUAUGGAGGCUCAAUGCAAUAAGUAAUUUACCUGAGUAGUAAAGUUGUGGUAAGCUUAACAUCACAAUGCAGACUUGUAUGUUAACAACACAUCUGUUUAUGAUGUUUCUUCUAGCAUCCUGCAGCUCUUCGCUCUCUCCAGCCUCUGGUCCAGACAGAGGGGAGCCUCCCAGUCCUAAUCACAUAGAGGAAGUGUCUUUAUCACUGCUUUCUCUGUGCUGCUGGGUUUGGGAGACUCUUCACAUAACCAGUGGUGUUGGCCUCCAUCUGUAAACAGAAGACGGUCAAGACAAGUGGUUGUCAUAAAUACUGUGUGUGUAUAUAUAUAUAUAUAUAUAUAUUUAUAUGUAUAUAAUGUCAUUAAGAAAAUAAAAGAACUGCUUUGUCUGAAGAUGCUAUAGAU